rnacentral:rRNA from 1 species
GACGAACGCUGGCGGCGUGCUUAACACAUGCAAGUCGAACGAAGCGCGCUGGAAGCUUGCUUCUCUCAAUCUUAGUGGCGAACGGGUGAGUAACGCGUACUCAACCUGCCCUUCAGAGGGGGACAACAGUUGGAAACGACUGCUAAUCCCGCAUACGAUCCAAUCUCGGCAUCGGGACUGGAUGAAAGGUGGCCUCUAUUUAUAAGCUAUCACUGAAGGAGGGGAUUGCGUCUGAUUAGCUAGAUGGAGGGGUAACGGCCCACCAAGGCGAUGAUCAGUAGCCGGUCUGAGAGGAUGAGCGGCCACAUUGGGACGGGGACACGACCCAGACUCCUACGGGAGGCAGCAGUGGGGAAUCUUCCGCAAUGGACGAAAGUCUGACGGAGCAACGCCGCGUGAGUGAUGACGGCCUUCGGGUUGUAAAGCUCUGGUAAUCGGGACGAAUGGUUCUUGUGCGAAUAGUGCGAGGAUUUGACGGUACCGGAAUAGAAAGCCACGGCUAACUACGUG